rnacentral:rRNA from 1 species
AUUGAACGCUGGCGGCAGGCCUAACACAUGCAAGUCGAGCGGAGCGCCAGCCGGGUGCGUAAUGCCUAGGCAUCUGCCUCCUAGUGGUGGAUCACGUCCGGAAACGGGCGCUAAUACCUCAUCCUAUCUUCUGCGCCUAGUUCGGCUUAGCUAGUUGGUGGGGUAACGGCCUACAAAGGCGACGAUCCGUAAAUGGUCUGAGAGGAUGCGCAGUCACAAGGGGACUGAGACACGGUCCAGACUCCUACGGGAGGCAGCAGUGGGGAAUAUUGGACAAUGGGCGAAAGCCUGAGCCAGCCAGGCCGCGUGUGUGAAGAAGGUCUUCGGAUCGUAAAGCACUUUAAGUUGGGAGGCGUUACCAAAAGAGUAAGCAACGGCUAACUGCGUGCCAGCAGCCGCGGUAAUAC